UAAUCUGUUUGGAGCAUGUCAUCAUCUAAUAAUUGCAGACUCACACCUAAUUGCUUAGAAUCAUCCACUAAUGCGUGAACAAUAACUUUUUAAAAUUGUAAUUAGAGUCUAUUUUUUAGUUUACAGGUUUGAUAAAGACA
rfam:Populus trichocarpa isolate Nisqually-1 chromosome 16, whole genome shotgun sequence.